GGCGAGUGAAGCGGCAACAGCUCAAAUUUGAAAUCUGGCCUUCUGGUCCGAGUUGUAAUUUGUAGAGGAUGCUUUUGGUGCGGUGCCUUCCGAGUUCCCUGGAACGGGACGCCAUAGAGGGUGAGAGCCCCGUCUGGUUGGACACCAAGCCUCUGUAAAGCUCCUUCGACGAGUCGAGUAGUUUGGGAAUGCUGCUCUAAAUGGGAGGUAUAUGUCUUCUAAAGCUAAAUACCGGCCAGAGACCGAUAGCGCACAAGUAGAGUGAUCGAAAGAUGAAAAGCACUUUGAAAAGAGGGUUAAAAAGUACGUGAAAUUGUUAAAAGGGAAGCGUUUAUGACCAGACUUGGACUUGGUUGAUCAUCCGGUGUUCUCACCGGUGCACUCUUCUAGUUCAGGCCAGCAUCAGUUCGUAGCGGGGGAUAAAGGCAGUAGGAAUGUGGCUCCUCGGAGUGUUAUAGCCUAUUGUGUAAUACCCUGUCUCGGACUGAGGUUCGCGCUUCCGCAAGGAUGCUGGCGUAAUGGACAUCAACGACCCGUCUUGAAACACGGACCAAGGAGUCGUCUUCGUAUGCGAGUGUUCGGGUGUCAAACCCCUACGCGUAAUGA
rnacentral:rRNA from 1 species